rfam:Marine metagenome ctg_1101667566873, whole genome shotgun sequence.
ACUCAACGAGUAUACAAUUAAAAAAGGUGAGUACAAGUGUUAAAGCAAGCUAUCUAGAAUAGAUCCUUGAUCAUUUGAUUAGCCUUAAUCCUGUUUAAAAGGAGUUU